AACAGUAUAGGCUUGCAAGGGCGGUCGGCUAAUCUCCCGGAAGGGAGGUGAUGCCCAUGACAGUAUUCGAGGGACUUAUACUUAUGAUAACGUUCGGUUCGCUGAUCGUUGCGAUACUGUCCUUUAAACGGAAAUAGACCGCCCCCCGCAAAGGAAUCGGUCUAUUUCUGCCGUACUUCCUAUAAGCCUACCGCCCUUAAAAGCGGCUGUUGUGGGGAGUCGUGUUAGCCGCACGGCUC
rnacentral:sRNA from 1 species